rnacentral:lncRNA from 1 species
UGUGUCUCUGUGUGUGUGUGCAAGUGUGUGUGGUAUUCAUUUACAGAACAAACAUUUCCUGAGCACUGGCAUGUGCCAGACACCGUUACAGGCACUGGAGAGAUAGCAGUGAAAAAACCAAUGGCCCCUGCCCCCAGAAGGCAGAUGUCCCAGCCAGGGAGACCUAGGAGGCUGCAGGGCCUGUGCCUAGCCUCUGGGGAGGGCCCGGCUGGCCUAUCUGCAGAGAGAGCCCACACUUCAAAUGGAGCAGCCUCUGGCCCCCAGGUAACGAGGGUGGGGUGUGCCUGGGGCCCUGCUGAUCAAUGGGGAAUCCCAGCUCCCUUGCCUCACAUCUGCAGCCCUACCUCCUGCCUCCCAGCAUAGCCCCUGUGUGUGAGGCACAGCUCUGGAACCCUCCAGGGCUCCGCUGGCCCAUGGUGCCCCGCCUGAUCACCCUGGGAAGUGGGCCAGGCAGGGCUGGAGGUGAAAGGGGAGGAGGGAAGUAGAUCAAGGAUGACCUCUCAUCUUAUCAAACAUCUGAGCCCCUCUAUCACCCCCUCCUUCCAUGGGGUCUUCUUCCCUGGCUGCAAGUGGAUAGUCCGGGUAGGUAGAAGCUGGGGCUGCCUGGGUGUCAUCCUCCCCUGCCUCUGACACUCCCUCACUCUUUCUACUGUGUGUCCCAUUUACCUUAUCUUCUCUCGCUCUUGUCACUACUCUGAGUUAAUAACAGUCGUGCAUUGAUCUGUUAGCAGGCAUGAUGCUAAGUGAUUUGCGUGUAUGCUCUCCUUUAAUCCUCACAACGACCCUGUGAGGUCAGCAAUUGUUAUUCCACUAGAAGGGAGAAAGCCACAGCUCAGAGGCAUCCACAUCACCCAGUGAGGAGGGCAGAGAGUACGGCUUCCUGCCCAGGUUCUGGAGAGCACUUAGCUGUACUGCGGCCUUGGGAUCAUGCUCUGCUGCUCUCCUCCCAGCCGUGGUCCCUUGGUGGGAGCUGAGCUGUGUCCUUGAAGGUUGUGGACUGUGAACAUUGUUCACAGGAACCAGAGACAUCACUCUUUAGGAUUCUACCAGCAACACCUGAAUGGGCUCGACAUUCGUGGAGGGGAUGUUUCCCUGGAUUACUGACUUUUGUUUCAUAAUAAUUAAAAUCUUUAUUUGGUCUUAUGUAAUAUAGUUUAGAAGCUAUCCAAUCUGUUUUUUGGAGAGGC